UACGUAGGUCCCGAGCGUUGUCCGGAUUUAUUGGGCGUAAAGCGAGCGCAGGUAGUUUAUUAAGUCUGGUGUAAAAGGCAGUGGCUCAACCAUUGUAUGCAUUGGAAACUGGUAGACUUGAGUGCAGGAGAGGAGAGUGGAAUUCCAUGUGUGGCGGUGAAAUGCGUAGAUAUAUGGAGGAACACCGGUGGCGAAAGCGGCUCUCUGGCCUGUAACUGACACUGAGGCUCGAAAGCGUGGGGAGCAAACAGG
rnacentral:rRNA from 1 species